rnacentral:lncRNA from 1 species
GGAUGAGAGCUUUCAAGUCAACUACACAUCGGUAGGAUAGAAGGUCAGCCUAACAACUAAACAUUGGUAGAUUAGUAACUUCUUCAAAAAGAAACUUGCCUGAACAUUAUAAUUAAUACACAAAAGGUGUGGAAUCUGAUGUACAUCUCUUCAAAGAAUGUUGUACUCCCUCCCUCAACCUUCCAAGGCAUAUUUAGGAGUCAAAUUAAAUGCAUGUUCAGAGUACAAAGUCGUAUCAAUACAUUCAUAAUUUCAAAGUUUUUUAGUAUGAAAGAAAUUCAAAUGCUAAAAUAUGAUAUUGAAGACUUUACAUACUAAAGUACAUCCUACAAUAAUAAACACAGGACUCAUAUGGCAAUACAACUUUAAAUAAAGUGCCACAUUUGAGCCUCAAGUUACUUUGGAUAUGCAAUCUGGAUAGCAUCCAAAGCACCUGUAUUUGCUACUUGAGCACCAAAAAAAGUUUUGAGUGAUUUGAUAUGCCUGAGAAUCAUAAAGCAAAGACAUCAUCAUGAACGAAGAAAAACCACAAUGGCUUUUUUUGUAUGGAGGCAUUGCAUAUGUAGCAACAUGACCCAUGAUUCAAUCGUUUGGCGUUGUAAUAAUCCAAAACAAAAUUAAUGCACAAUCUGACAUCAUUGCAGUGUGAUUGAAUUGAUUAUGUGUGUACAGACAUACUCAUCCAAAAUACAUGGAAUGUACUCAAGCUAAAUAUUAAUAGUUUUACCCAAUCUAGCUACUCACAUGACCAUCAGGUGGCCCAAGGAAAACAAAUUCAAGUGCAGAUAGAAGAUGAAUGAUCAAGAAAGAAAUAUAGGAGGCGAUGAAUUCCUUGUGUAAACAAAUCUUGGAACAAUACCAGUAGCAUAUCUGACAAUUAGAUUGAAAUCACAUUUUAAAUUCUAUUGAGGUUAAUGAAUGAAAGAAUUUCAAUUAUAUAAGGUCUAUUUUAGUAAAACAAAAAAUGAAAGCAACUAUAACAUAAAAUUCUCAGCAUUUAGAAAUGUUUAAAUAGUCAAAUAUAAAUGUAAUACAGAACCAAUACAGUGAGUCUAACCCCAUAUCAUUCAGGACACCUGAGUUUGCAGGUUAGAUUAAAAGAUAUACAUCGAAUGUCAAAAGCUUCUUCAUUCAUCUCUAGGAGACCAAAAAAUAAUAACUUACCGCUCAUGCUAUUUCUGUUAAAUGUUAAAAUUCUAGCAGGAGUAAGAAACCGACGUCCUCCUUUCUCACUCCAUUCAACGAAAGGAAUGGCUUCUGUAAUACCAUUGCCACUUCUACAGGUAUCUGUCAUCUGUAAAAUGACAAAGAUAAUAAAGUCACAUUCUUCCAACGGAGACCACAAUUAAUUUAUUUCCAUAAUGUAUGACUGCCAUCUAUGAAAACAAAGAGUGAGUUGCAUUCUUAGAUCAGAUACCGGUAAAAAAACAAAGAUAAUAGACUCACAUCUUAAAUCGGAGACCAUAAUUAAUUUAUUUUCACAAUGUAUGUUUUCCUCUGCUAAUACGAAGUCGAGCUGAGAGAAGAACACUAAAUAUUUUCUUGUAAAAAAUAUACAUUCACGAGGUUUCAUUAAAGUAGUAGGUAACCGAGGUAUCACAAGAUCCAUUUUUGUUAGCGAUGAAAAUGAAAAAUAUGGGCAAAUUUGACCACAGAUUACUACCAUAUAGGCAGAUAUGGGUGUUGUCUAUUACCAAUAUAAGAGUGAAAAGAAAAUUUGUUCUAUGCCUAUGCCCCAUGCUUUUAUUUCUAUGUCUGAGCUCAAGCAACUUAUCAUGACGCUAGCGGUACUAUGCCCACACUUUUAUUUCUAUGUCUGAACUCAAGCAACUUAUCAUGACGCGAGCGGUAGGCAUGGCCGUGGGCGAACCCACAGCCGUGCCACAAAGGAUAUUAUCAUCUCCCAUGUCCACACUGGUAAAGGUUCGUUUAACGUCAAAUAGCUUAACUCUACUCGAUUACUUCAAUUCUAUAUGUACAACCGAGUGUAUGCUUUUGUAAACUUCAUCAAAGUUGCCUUUACUUUGCAUCACAACAGAUUUUGCAGCCUAAUAAAAUUAUGUGCAGUCGUCCUUUGACCAUCACAAUUUUGGAAAACAUACGCUCCUGGUGGGUCUAGGAACUCUACGAUUCUAGGGGAUUGAACUUAGAAACGGUAGGAAAGGGAACAAACCAUGCUCCUGGUGUCGUCCGUCUUGCUUGGCGGUCCGUACGUGUUGUCGCAGAUCGAUCGAUCCCCUGUUGGUGCUUGCGCGUGAAGGUAGGGGCGACGUUGGGAGGGGCAGGUGCGGCCUACCACGGCAAGGUGUGCCAGCAUCACAAAGAGGUGAUGGUGCUGCGAUGCUUAUGUUAGGGUUGGGGAGCUCAGUUUGGCAUAACGGGAAGGGGAAGAUGAGCCACCGUUCGCAGCCGCAGCCCUUGCGCGGACUCCUCUGUGGCGUCCUUCUCCCAGCGCAGGGGUCAACUCCAGCUCCACCCUAUAGAUCAGCUCGUCCUUCUCCACCCCAUACCCGCCAUCUAAAGAGCAGACACUUUGGCCUCAUCCUCGGCACGACGAACACCUCAGUCUCUAGCUUGGCUGCCCUUGGCUGGCGCGUGGCUCCACUGUCGUAGCCUGGACGAGUUCAGGCCAGGGCCCCAACACGGGUGACCAGGGGGUGGCAGGCACGGGCUGCGGUACGGGCAUCGCAUGGCAAGGGCAGGGGCAGGGGCUGCGGGACGGGGGGUUUGUGCGGGGAGGAGUGAGAGCGCCGCGAGGAUGAUGAGGUGGACGCGAGGAGCGGGAGGUGUGGGGGCGUCGGCGGGGGGCGGGGACAUGGGCGGGAUCUACGUUGUGGCCUCGUGGGGGCGGGGCGCGGGAUGGGAGAGGGGCAGUACAGGAGAUGGAGGACGGGGAGGAGACAACGCCGGACGUGGAGGAGGGCGAGGAGGCAGAGCAUGGGGAGGAGACGGCUAAAAGGGAAAUAGGCUUACACCUUUUCCUAAAUGAUUUUGGUGGUUGAAUUGCCCAACACAAAUAAUUGAACUAACUAGUUUGCUCUAGAUUAUAAGUUUUAGAGGUGCCAAAGUGUCGGGGACCAUAAUUAGGGGUACCCCCAAGACUCCUAAAACUUGGCUGGUAACCACCAUCAGCACAAGCUGCAAAGGCCUGAUGGGCGCAAUACAGGUCAAAACUCCGUCCACUCAAGGGACACGAUCUCGCCUCGCCCGAGCCCAGCCUCGGGUAGGAACAGUAGACCCAGGCGGAUUCACGCCUCGCCCGAGGGCCUCCUCAAGCAAUGGGCGCACCUUCGACUCGCCCGAGGCCUGGCUCGUGCAGGCUUCGCAGUGAAGCAACCUUGGCCAGAUCGCCUCGCCGACCGACCGUAUCGCGGGAGCAUUCAAUGCAAGGAUCGCCUGACGCGCGUUCCUCAGUCGGCAGGGCCGAAGUGAUCGCAGUCACUUCGCCCCUCCACUGACUGACCUGACAGGAAAACAGUGUCGCCUGCCCUGCUCCGACUGCUGUGCCACCCGCCAGGAUGAGGCUGACAGCAGCCGAGUCCGGCCUCAGGCGCCAUAGGAAGCUCCGCCUCGCCCGACCCCAGGGCUCGGCCCCCGCCUCGACCUCGGAAGACGGUCUCCACCUCGCCCGACCCUAGGGCUCAGACUCAGCCUCGACCUCGGAAGACGGUCUCCGCCUCGCCCGACCCAAGGGCUCGGACUCAACCUCGACCUCGGAAGACGGUCUCCGCCUCGCCCGACCCCGGGGCUCGGACUUAGCCUCGACCUCGGAGGAGUCACCGCCUCGCCCGACCUUGGGCUCGGACCGACCAUGUUACAGGGGGGCACAUCGUUACCCUACCCCUAGCUAGCUCAGGCUACGGGGAACAAGACCGGCGUCCCAUCUGGCUCGCCCCGGUAAACAAGUAAUGAUGGCACCCCGUGUGCUCCCAUGACAACGGCGGUUCUCAGCCCCCUACGGAAGCAAGGAGACGUCAGCAAGGACCCGACAACCCCAACUGUUGUGCUUCUACAGGGCUCAAGCGCUCCUCCGACGGCCAUGACAUCACAUGAACAGGGCACUAACACCUCUCCGACAGCCACGUCGGCAUGUACAUAGGGCUCUGGCUCCUCUCUGUCGGACACGUUAGCACAUUGCUACAUCCCCCAUUGUACAUCUGGACCCUCUCCUUACAUCUAUAAAAGAAAGGUCCAGGGCCCUCAUACGAGAAGGUGGCCGCGCGGGAGGACAGGCUGACGAAUAGGCUCUCUCUCUCUCCCUCGCGGACGCUUGUAACCCCCUACUGCAAACGCAUCCACCCUGGGCGCAGGAUAACACGAGCCGCGGUUCCCUUUUUUCCCCCUUGUGUUCCAUCUCGCGCCGACCCAUCUGGGCUGGGACACGCAGCAACAAUUUACUCGUCGGUCCAGGGACCCCCCGGGGUCGAAACGCCGACAGUUGGCGCGCCAGGUAGGGGCCUACUGCGUGUUGACGAACAACUUCCCGUCAAGCUCUAGAUGGGUAGUCUCCAGCAACCUCUCCAACCCGGGACGCUGCUCCGUUUUGGGAAUCUCGAGUUCAUGUCCCUCGACGACAGCUACGACAUGGUACUCCUUCCUCUGUCGCGCGACAACGACAAUGGCAGCCGUCAGCCCGCCCGGCGGCGGCGGAAUCGACGACGUUUUCCCCGCGUGGCGGAAGAGCAGCAUCCGGGUCUGUCCCGUCACCUUCCCCACCGCAGGAGGAGGAGGCGGGGCAACCAUGGCCAAGCAGGAGGCGGCACCUCGUUGGCUGUCGAGCGAGUCGACGACGCCGGCGCCCCAGCGGGGGACACGUCGGGCAUUGACCUCGCGUCUAAGACGAAGACGAGCGUCGUUUCCCCGCAACACGCCAACCCCAAGCGGACGGAUGACACCAGCACGCUCGCGAAGGACUUGCUGGGCGUUAGCCUCGUACCUGAGAUAACGGUGCAGUCCGUCCCCGACACGACUUCGUCACCAUCCGUCGAUCAAGAGGUACCGUCCGUUUUCACCCUGUGUCUUUUAGAUUCAGCUUCGACCCACCAAGCGACCCCGCUUCGGUGGACGCUUUCAUAAAGGCAUAUCCUAACCUUCCGGGGUACCAUAUGUGGUCAACCUGGGACCGACUGACGGCCGUCUCGACCUACGGGCCCCCGGGUUCCGAGGAAGAUGACGAGCCCGACUCUGGUUGGGAUUUCUCCGGGCUCGGUAACCCCAGUGCCAUGCGAGACUUCAUGACCGCAUGUGACUACUGCCUCUCCGAUUACUCCGAUGGUGGCCACAGCCUCAACGAUGAGGACUGUGGCCCAAGUCGCGAAUGUUUCCAUGUCGAUCUAGGGGGUCUCGACGAAGGCAACCACCUUGGUAUGCCGGAGGACGGCGAUCCCCCUAGGCCUGUGCCUCGCGUUGACAUCCUUCGGGAGCUAGUUGUGGUCCUAGUGCCUACGGGGGGUCAGGACGCACAGCUCGAGCAAAUCCGCGAGAUGCAGGCCAGGCUCGACGAGGAAGCAGGACAACUUGUGCAGCUCCGGCAGAACAUCGGGCAAGAGUGGGCAGGCCGAUCGCCAGCCGGAGAAGCGCGUCAUCUGGCCCAGGACAUCCAGCACCGCAUCGCUGACGAUGCCAGGGCAAGGCUGCCCCCAACUUCCAGUGGGGUCGGCCAGAACCUGGCUGCAGCAGCAAUACUACUCCGAGCGAUGUCGGAGCCAUCCACCACCGAGGGGCGGCGUAUCCAGGGAUAACUCUAGAAUCUCCUGGAGGAUGCCACGGUCCGACGGGCCGAAAGCUCUGCCUCCCGAAGGCAAGGGUACCCCCCGGAGCAUCACGCCGCGACUUCCCGAUUCAUGCGGGAAGCCUCGGUCCACACCGGGCGCACGAGGGACGCAAUGCCUGCAACCCCGGGUCGCCUCGGCAACGAGCACCACCGCCGCGACCGUCGAGCCCACCUCGACGAGAAGGUGCGCCGAGGCUACCACCCCAGGCGUGGGGGACACUACGACAGCGGGGAGGAUCAGAGUCCCUCGCCCGAACCACCCGGUCCGCAAGUUUUCAGCCGGGUCAUACGACGGGCGCCGUUCCCGACCCGGUUCCGAGCCCCGACUACCAUCACCAAGUACUCGGGGGAAACAAGGCCGGAACUGUGGCUCGCGGACUACCGGCUGGCCUGCCAGCUGGGUGGAACGAACGAUGACAACCUCAUCAUCCGCAACCUCCCCCUGUUCCUCUCCGACGCCGCCUGGGCCUGGCUGGAGCAUCUGCCACCUGCGCAGAUCUCCAACUGGGACGACCUGGUCAAAGCCUUCGCCGGAAACUUCUAGGGCACAUACGUGCGCCCUGGGAACUCCUGGGAUCUCCGAAGCUGUCGCCAGCAGCCAGGAGAAUCCCUGCGGGACUACAUCCAACGAUUUUCGAAGCAGCACACCGAGCUGCCCAACAUCACCGACUCAGAUGUCAUCGGCGCGUUCCUCGCCGGCACCACUUGCCGCGACCUGGUGAGCAAGCUGGGUCGCAAGACCCCCACCAGGGCGAGCGAGCUGAUGGACAUCGCCACCAAGUUCGCCUCUGGUCAGGAGGCGGUCGAGGCCAUCUUCCGGAAGGACAAGCAGCCUCAGGGGCGCCAGCAGGAAGACGUCCCCAAGGCGUCCGCUCAGCGCGGCACGAGGAAGAAGGGCAAGAAGAAGUCACAAGAGAAACGCGACACCGCCGACGCAGAUGUUGUCGCCGCCGCCGAGCACAGGAACCCUCGGAAGCCUCCCGGAGGGGCCAAAUUGUUCGACAAGAUGCUCAAGGAGUCGUGCCCCUAUCAUCAGGGUCCCGUCAAGCACACCCUUGAGGAGUGUGUCAUGCUUCGGCGCUACUUCCAUAAGGUCGGGCCCCCGGAGGAAGGUGGCAAAGGCCAUGACAACGACAAGAAGGAGGGCCACAAAGCAGAGGAGUUCCCCGAGGUCCACGACUGCUUCAUGAUCUACGGUGGGCAGGUGGCGAAUGCCUCGGCUCGGCACCGCAAGCAGGAGCGCCGGCAGGUCUGCUUGGUGAAGGUGGCGGCGCCAGUCUACCUAGACUGGUCCAACAAGCCCAUCACCUUCGACCAAGGCGACCACCCCGACCGCGUGCCGAGCCCGGGGAAGUACCCGCUCGUUGUCGAUCCCGUCAUCGGCAACGUCAGGCUUACCAAGGUCCUCAUGGACGGAGGCAGCAGGCUCAACAUCAUCUACGCCGAGACCCUCAGGCUCUUGCAGAUUGAUCUGUCCACGAUCCGGGCCGGUGCGGCGCCCUUUCACGGGAUCAGCCCCGGGAAGCGCGUCCAACCCCUUGGGCAACUCGAUCUGCCCGUCUGCUUCGGGACUCCCUCCAACUUCCGAAAGGAAACCCUCACGUUCGAGGUGGUCGGGUUCGGAGGAACCUGCCACGCAGUGAUGGGGAGACCAUGCUACGCCAAGUUCAUGGUCGUACCCAACUACACCUACCUCAAGCUCAAGAUGUCGGGCCCCAACGGGGUCAUCACCGUCGGAUCCACGUACCGACAUGCGUACGAAUGCGACGUGGAGUGCGUGGAGUAUGCUGAGGCCUUCGCCGAAUCCGAGGCCCUCAUCGCCGACCUAGAGAGCCUCUCCAACGAGGUGCCAGAUGCGAAGCGCCACGCCAGCAACUUCGAGCCAGCAGAGGCGGUUAAGUCCGUCCCUCUCGACCCCAGCAACGACGCCUCCAAGCAAGUCCGGAUCGGCUCCGAGCUCGACCCCAAAUAUGAAGCAGUGCUCGCCAACUUUCUCCAUGCGAACGCCGAGGUUUUUGCGUGGAGUCCCUCGGACAUGCCUGGCAUACCGAGGGAUGUCGCUGAGCACUCGCUGGGUAUCCGAGCUGGAGCCCGACCCGUGAAGCAGCCUCGGCACCGAUUCGACGAAGAAAAGCGCAGAGCCAUAGGCGAGGAGAUCCACAAGCUGAUGGCUGCAGGGUUCAUCAAAGAGGUAUUCCAUCCUGAAUGGCUAGCCAACCCUGUGCUUGUGAAAAAGAAAGGUGGGAAAUCGAGGAUGUGUGUAGACUACACUGGUCUAAACAAAGCAUGUCCGAAGGUUCCCUACCCUCUGCCUCGCAUCGAUCAAAUCGUGGUUUCCACUGCUGGGUGCGAAACCCUGUCAUUCCUUGAUGCCUACUCAGGGUAUCACCAAAUCAGGAUGAAAGAGUCUGACCAGCUCGCGACCUCUUUCAUCACACCCUUUGGCAUGUACUGCUAUAUUAGUAUGUCAUUCGGUUUAAGAAAUGCAGGCGCGACAUACCAAAGGUGCAUUAACCAUGUGUUCGGAGAGCACAUUGGCCGAACGGUCGAGGCUUACGUCGAUGACAUCAUAGUCAAGACGAGGAAAGCCUCCGACCUCCUCACUGACCUUGAAACGACAUUCAAAUGUCUCAAGGCGAAAGGCGUAAAACUCAAUCCCGAGAAGUGUGUCUUCGGAGUCCCCCGAGGCAUGCUCCUGGGGUUCAUCGUCUCCGAGCGGGGCAUCGAGGCCAACCCAGAGAAAAUUGCGGCCAUCACCAACAUGGGGCCUAUCAAGGACUUGAAAGGAGUACAGAGGGUCAUGGGAUGCCUUGCGGCUCUGAGCCGCUUCAUCUCGCGCCUCGGCGAAAGAGGCCUACCCUUGUACCGCCUCUUAAGGAAGACCGAGCGCUUCACUUGGACCCCCGAGGCCGAGGAAGCCAUCGGGAACUUAAAGGCGCUCCUUACAAGCGCGCCCAUCUUGGUGCCCCCCGCUGCCGGAGAAGCCCUCUUGAUCUACGUAGCCGCAACCACUCAGGUGGUCAGCGCCGCGAUCAUGGUCGAGAGACGAGAAGAAGGGCAUGCAUUGCUCGUCUAGAGGCCGGUCUACUUCAUCAGUGAGGUACUGUCCGAGACCAAAAUCCGCUACCCGCAAAUUCAGAAGCUACUGUACGCGGUAAUUCUGACGCGGCGAAAGUUGCGACACUACUUCGAGUCUCAUCCGGUGACUGUGGUGUCGUCCUUCCCCCAGGGGGAGAUCAUCCAGUGCCGAGAGGCCUCGGGUAGGAUUGCAAAGUGGGCGGUGGAGAUCACGGGCGAGACAAUCUCGUUCGCUCCUCAGAAGGCCAUCAAGUCCCAAGUCUUGGCGGACUUUGUGGCUGAAUGGGUCGACACCUAGCUUCCAGUAGCUCCGAUCUAAACAGAACUCUGGACCAUGUUUUUCGAUGGGUCGCUGAUGAAAACAAGAGCGGGUGCGGGACCUCUCUUCAUCUCACCCCUCGGGAAGCACCUCCGCUACGUGCUACGCCUCCAUUUGUCGGCAUCAAACAACGUGGUUGAGUACGAGGCUCUGGUUAACGGGUUGCGCAUCGCCAUCGAGCUAGGGGUUCGGCGCCUCGACGCUCGUGGCGACUCGUAGCUCGUCAACGACCAAGUCAUGAAGAACUCCCAUUGCCGUGACCCGAAGAUGGAAGCCUACUGCGAUGAGGUUCGGCGCCUGGAAGACAAGUUCUACGAGCUCCAGCUCAACCACAUCGCUCGGCGAUACAACGAGACUGUGGACGAGCUGGCUAAGAUAGCCUCGGGACGGACAACGGUUCCCCUGGAUGUCUUUUCCCAAGACCUACAUCAACCCUCCGUCAAGACCGACGACACGCCCGAGCCCGGGGAGGCCUCGGCCCAACCCGAGGCACCCUCGGCCCUCGAGGGUGAGGCACUGUGCGUCGAGGAAGAGCGGAAUGGGGUCACGCCUAAUCGAAACUGGCAGACCCCGUACCUGCAAUAUCUCCACCGAGGGGAGCUGCCCCUCAACAGAGCCGAAGCUCGGCGACUGGCGCGGCGCGCCAAGUCGUUUGUCUUGCUGGGUGACGAAAAGGAGCUCUACCACCGCAGCCCCUCACGCAUCCUCGAGCGAUGCAUAUCCAUCGCCGAAGGUCAGGAGCUAUUGCAAGAAAUACACUCGGGGGCUUGUGGUCAUCACGCAGCACCUCGAGCCCUCGUUGGAAACGCCUUCCGACAAGGUUUCUACUGGCCAACCGCGGUGUCCGACGCCACUAGGAUUGUACGCACCUGCCAAGGGUGUCAAUUCUACGCAAGACAGACACACCUGCCCGCUCAGGCCCUGCAAACAAUACCCAUCACCUGGUUGUUUGCUGUGUGGGGUCUGGACCUCGUCAGUCCCUUGUAGAAGGCACCCGGGGGCUUCACGCACCUGCUGGUCGCCAUCGACAAAUUCUCCAAAUGGAUCGAGGUCCGACCCCUAAACAACAUCAGGUCCGAGCAGGCGGUGGCGUUCUUCACCAACAUCAUCCAUCGCUUUGGGGUCCCAAACUCCAUCAUCACCGACAACGGCACCCAGUUUACUGGCAGGAAGUUCCUGGACUUCUGCGAGGACCACCACAUCCGGGUGGACUGGGCCGCCGUAGCUCACCCCGUGACGAAUGGGCAGGUAGAGCGUGCCAACGGCAUGAUUCUGCAAGGACUUAAGCCGAGGAUCUACAACGACCUCAAUAAGUUCAGCAAGCGAUGGAUGAAGGAACUCCCCUCGGUGGUCUGGAGUCUGAGGACGACGCCAAGCCGAGCCACGGGCUUCACGUCGUUCUUUCUAGUCUAUGGGGCCGAGGCUAUCUUGCCCACAGACUUAGAAUAUGGUUCCCCGAGGACAAGGGCGUAUGACGACCGAAGCAACCAGACCAGCCGACAAGACUCUCUGGACCAGCUGCAAGAGGCUCGGGACAUGGCCUUACUACACUCGGCACGGUAUCAGCAGUCUCUGCGACGCUACCACGCCCGAGGGGUUCGGUCCCGAGACCUCCAGGUGGGGGACUUGGUGCUUCGUCUACGACAAGACGCUCGAGGGCGCCACAAGCUCACACCUCCCUGGGAAGGGUCGUUCAUCAUCGCCAAGAUUUUGAAGCCCGGAACGUACAAGCUGGCCAACAGUCAAGGCGAGGUCUACAGCAACGCUUGGAACAUCCGACAGCUACGUCGCUUUUACCCUUAAGAUGUUUUCAGGUCGUUCAUAUACCUCCUUCUCUUUACAUACACAAAUAGAGUCUAACCGUUAAGGAAGGGUCAGCCUUGCCUCAGCAAAGCCCGACCAUCCCUCAGGGGCUAGAAGGGGGGAACCCCCUCUGCGUCAAAAUUUUCCUCAGAAAAAGUCUUUCUGCCAGAACAUCUUUCGCGCUUUUCGACUACUUCGAUAGCGGGAUCCUGAAAACGAUGGAGUACACGUAAGUGGCAAGGCCGACCGAGCCGAGGGACUCCUACGCCUCCGGGAUACGAAUACCUCACUCAUCACCUUCUGCGAUAAGUAACUCGCGCUCGGAUAAGCGAUUCUGCUGACCGAACAAGUCUUAACGCUCGAAAACUUUUCUGCCAAAACUAUUUUUUGUGCCUUCUCGACUAUAUCGAUAAUAGAAUCCUGCGGACGAGCAAGAGUACACGUAAGCGGCGAGGCCGACCGAGCCGAGGCACUCCUACGCCUCCGGGAUACGGAUACCUCACUCAUCACCUUCCGCGAUAAGUAACUCUCACUCGGAUGAGCGAUUCUGCUACCAACAAACAAGUCCUGAUACUCGAAACAAGGGGAAAAGAAAUGCAACUUUAUAACACGAUGAUGAUAUGUUUGGGCCUCGGAAGCCGCAAAAAACACACGCACACUACAGACAAAUUGUUCCUGCAGGUUCAGACAUCAAUAGGGGGAGCAGCAGCACCCUCGGCGUCGACUCCACCUUCGGUGGAAUCCGGCCCGGCCUCGGACGGCGACACGGUCGGAGGAUCUCCACCUCGAAGGAAGAUAUCCGCACCGCGCCUGGGCCAUCGCCGCCAGGGUCUCCUCUAGAAACCCGGCCCGAGCAGACGGCUUGACCGGCCGCUCCAUAACCUCAGCCAGCUGUCCCCCGAGGACAUCAGCCCGGCUCAUGGCCUCGGCAGCCCGACUCCGGCGUUGGUCCCGCCAGUGGACGACCUGGCCAGGUUCUAGCCGCCACUGCUACGCCCCCUCGGCCUGGGAAGUCACCUGCUCCUGAUUCGAUGAAGUUUCUUCUCGAGCCAACUCCGCCUCUGUCCAUGCUGACACCGCUGCCUCCAGCUCCGGCUCAUCGCAGAACAGCCGAGGGUUUCUUUAACUGAGCAAGAGAAGCCUCGGGCAGCAAAGCUGACCGAGCCGAGGGACUCCUACGCCUCCGGGAUACGGAUACCUCACUCGUCACCUUCCGCACAGGGCAACUCACACUUGGUUAAGCGGUUCAGCUAGCCGACAGGCGAGUCCUGGUGCUUGAAAUGAGGAAGAAACACGGUAUCGCACCCAAAAUACCAAGAUGUUCAGGCCCCGACAGCCACAAUGAACAGACACCGGCACUCAAGAUGCCAUUACAAACAGAACUCCGGUUCCACUCCCGCGGGUACGAACAACCCCCACAUCGGAGGGCCUGCGGGACGACAAACUCCGGGUGACUCGCCGACGACCUCUGCAGCAGCAGCGAUGGUCCUAGGGCGGACGCUACCGCUGGAAGGCUCUCGUUCGUGUCCCCUCGCGGAGGACGAUAACCAGAUAUUAAAGCCAAAGAGCCGUAGGUCGGUCUGCGGGUGGCGCUGACGGUCUCGUCGGCGGAGAAGCUUUCUCCAGCUGCCACCACCUCAGCACCGACGGCGGCGUCCACCUGCCCACCAACUCCGCACCUGCGAGCGCCGGCCGCCCCAAAGCGCACCGGCAGGUCCUCACCCCCGUUCUCGCCAUGAAAACGAGAACGGGACCGUCUCAGAACACGAGUACCGCCCUCGCGGCGUACGACGUGUUGUGAGACCCUCCGGUGCGGCCGGCCACAGUCGCCCGGACAGAGGACGGAAUGCUGCACCCUGGCCGGACAGCAGCAGUUCGCCUUCCCCCCGCAUGGCUGGAGGAUGCCCCCUCCGCAGAGCUGGAGGAUGGUUUCCACCCCCAGAUGCCAGAGGAAGAAGCGGGACGCCAGCCCACGCGAAGGCGGGCCUCGGCUCGCCCCCCGCCCCAGCAAGGAUGAUGAAGAUCCUUGAAGCUGAGGGCGGGGCAGAAGCCGCAACCCGGCUUGCUUCUCCCCACCAUCGAACCGGUGGUCACCCUCCUGCGUGAGCAUUGGUGAGGGGAUGCAGCCGGGCUGCCUAAUGAAAAUCCUUGAAGCCGAGCGAUGGCUGAAAGGUGCCAACCUCCACGAGGUUGCGCUCCUCCCACAACGAGACGAAGGCAACGCGGGCUCUCCCCAUUCGGGGGCUCGGAAGGCGGAAGGACGCAAUGCAUGAGGAGAGUGCGAAGGCAUGGCUACCACUCGGGGGGUCGAUCCCUUUUUAAAGGCGACUAUCCCCGCUCGCGUCCUCAGGCAUCGCGGACUAAGUCUUCACCAACGUGCUCCAGGGUCCUCCCCCUACGACACGGGGCUGGGUCCCACACGACAUGCAAGCUAGCCUGUAAAGACCAAAAUCUGUGUAAAAAUAAUAAUUACUAAAACAAUGAAUUUUCGAAUGUACCUUUAAUCAGACCAUACAUUUAAAAGAGUAGUGUCUUAAUUGUGUGUGUGCAUGUACUAAAUUAAAUCUUGUGUUAAGUUCCUUCAAACUAAAUGGUUGAUGGAUAUUCAUUUUUGAAGAAGCUCACAAUUUUAUCACACACUCAAUUUACUAUUUCAUAUAAAGAAUAAUAUAUAGAUCAUACUUGAAGCAUGGCCUAAUAAAUUAAUAAAGUAAUUAGUAAAUACAUUUAAAACAUUAGCAUCUCAUAUUGGGAUUUAUUUUUGUAUUUGUAAUUCAGUUUGAAAUUUGAAUUUGAUUUAAUGAUUGAAAUUUGAAAUAGAAAAGAAAUAGGAAAACAGAAAAUAGAAAACUCAAAAAAAAGAAUAAAUGGGAGGUUGGGCUGACUUCUCCCCUGCGCCUCGGCCCACCUCACCUUUGCCCCCUUGCCCAGCCCACAUAAACACCACGCGCUCCUCCCUCUCUGCGACUGACGGGCGGGUCCCGCACUUCUGGUCACUACAGUGCACGCCUGGGUGUGCUGUUUCACCGCCAUGUGGGGCCAGCUGCGCAGAAGCUCCAUCUACCUUCCCACAACAAACUCGCGCGCCUGCGACCGAUCCUUUCCCCCUAAAUCGGCGUGAUUCACGGGCAGGUCCCCUCCUGGCGAUCCGAAGUACUCGCGCCAACCUCCUUCUGCCCGAGGUAUAAAAUCGACCUCCCCUUCGUCCAUCCGUCCGUGUAGCGCCAUUGCUGGGAGAAAUCAGAGAGGGAGAAAUCGCGGUGAGCAAAUGAGGGAUGCCAUGGGUGACUCGCUUACUCCUCAACGUUGUGCCCCUGGAUUCGGCCUGCCUCAGGGCUAUAAGACUGGACGCCGGGGCGCCGCUGGUCAGCACGCUGCCGUCUGUGCGGGCCCGUGCUCAUCCCGCCAUGGGACAGCGCGACGGAAGUGGCCGCCGCCGUGGUCGUCUCGAUUCGCCCGUGAUUGACCAUGGCGCGGAGUCCUGGUGCAACGCAGCAAGUAACCCAGCCCACUAGCCUCCUCUGGCGGGACCUUCUUCUCCACGUCGUCGGUCGGGUCUGUGGCUUUGUCCGAGCCGAUUUGCGCCCAGAAUCGCGGAUUGGGCAGUCCUUCCGCCGCGGAGCUUCUACUCAUCGCGAGCCGCACCGAUUGCACCCGGAUUCGCGGUAAGUUCUUGUGUAUCGAUUUCUAGGCACAGCCCGGGGUCGAUUGACGGUGUUUAGUCGCGGGAUUGCUGCGCCAAGGCGCAGAUUCAGUUUGCUCCGGCGAGGUCGCGACUGUCGAUUUGGGCGGCGCUUCCUCGGGUGGAUGAUGGGAGGAAGAAGGUGGCUGUCUGUUGGAUUACGAUCCAGCGGAUAUGAUUGAUUGGGGGUGUAGGGGUGUCCUGAGUCGUUGAUCUUACGGGGAACGCUUGAUAUUAGAUCCCAGGUACCGGUUUGGCCAUAAGUAAUCCAAGUCGUUGAUUGAGGGAUGGGAGCGAGAGGUGUUCCUGGCGUUUUAAAAUCUAGGGCAUUGAUCUCAGAUCCAAGGGCUCGUAUUGCAUACCGUUUCAUUUAAAGCACGAUCUAAUCCGGGCCGCCGGAUCUGGAUCGGGCGGCUCUGAUUGCGGGAUACCCCUUCAGCCGUGUGCAAAUUAAUAAAGAGACCCUUACGUUUUCAAUAAUCAACCCGCCGUCCACCUCGGGUCAGGGCUGAGUCUGGUAGAUUUUACAGAAUAAACCCUGACCUUCUCUGUAUUAGUGCGCCCAGUCUAGGAAUUAAAGAAAAUAGAAAAAAGAGAUUUAGAAAUUGAUUUUGAGUAUAAAAAUAAUUGUAAAACUUGUAUAAUUCAUAGAAAAUAUAUAUGAAGUCCAAAUUAAUUUAUUCCCAUUUCUAUAAUUUUAUAAUAUAAUUGUUUAUCACCUAGUGUCUCUGUUUUGGCAUGAAAACAGUAAUAAAAUUUAUUUCUUAGUUAAUCCUGCAUCAAAUACAUAAAACAUUUGGAAAUCCAUAACUUAAAAUCUAUAACUCCAAAAUUAGUAAUUCUUGUUCCUGUGAUCUUAUUUCAAUAUGUAGAUCAUUAUUAUGUAUUUUGCAUAUAUGUUUGGUGUAGUGUUAAUUUUGCAUGCACCAUGUUUGUCUGUAUUGCUACGCUUAGCAGUGAGGACACAUGUCAUCUGAAGAGCAAGUUGGUACCUGGAAUCUCAAGUCCCAGGAAAGUUGUGCCCUUGAUCACUUCUUUUUACCCACUCAUGUUAUAAUUAAUCAUAAUGAUCUGCAUAGGUUAAUUUUGAUGGGACCCAAUAGGUUACCCUAGUUUGUCUAUCUUUAUACCUUGUUUACCACUGAACUUUUUGGGUAGUACUUGCUAGUGCUUUAUGUGGUUUUGGUUAUGAAGAUACAUUAUUCAUGAUCACACUGUUAUUAUCUGUUUAUUAUUAUUGUUCAUGAUAAGAUCAUUAUGUUAAUUGGAACAUGGAGCGACCACCCGGAAAAACAGUGCUACCACAAGGGUUUAAUGGGACGCCCUUGGCUGAUUAAUUAGGAAAGCUAGUGGAAAACUACCUUACCCGAAAGGGGCAAGGGUAGUAGGGGAGUGGUCAGUGUAGGGAGGUCCUUGGGAUGAUUUUGCUGCGAUGGCGAUCAUGCGAGGGAUCCCUGCAUUGGAGCUUCCUAUAAACUGUAGCGGGUUUUCUGAAGCUAGUGGAACUUUGUAAAGGCCUCGUAGUGUUACCCUGCCUCGCCUCCUAGGUAGAGGUGUAUGGGAAGUCGCGAUCCCUUGGUAGAUGGGUAACAUGACUUGUGGGUAAAGAUGCGCAACCUCUGCAGAGUGUAAAACUGGUAUACUAGCCAUGCUCACGGUCAUGAGCAGCUCGGACCCUCACAUGAUUAAUUUAUGGAACUAAAUUCAAUAUGUCAUAUGCAUUGCAUCGCAGGUGAUGUUGUUACUUUUGUUCUAUUACUUAAUUGGGUUGGUAUUUACUUAUACUUAGUAAUUGCUAAUAAAAUUUUGACCAACUUUAAAAGCAAUGCUCAGCUCUAACCAUCCUCUUUGGUAAGCCUUACACUUCACAUGAACUCCCACCUUUGGCGAGUUCAUUCACAUUAUUCCCCACAACUUGUUGAGCGAUGAACGUAUGUGAGCUCACUCUUGCUGUCUCACACCCCCCCACAGGUCAAGAACAGGUACCACAGGAUAAGGCGCAUGGAGGAUGUUGUGCGAGUUCGUGAGAGGUCUUGGUCGUCGUCUCCCAGUCAACUUUGGGUUGUUGGACCGUUGUCUCCUUAUAAUGUAAUUGUUUAUUUUGUACAGAACUUCUAUUAUAUAGUAAAGUUGUGACAUUCGAUCCUGUGCCAUGAUUCAUCAUAUGUGUGAGACUUGGUCCCAGCACACCUGGUGAUUAUGUUCGCGCCCGGGUUUUGGACCCCUAAAAUCCGGGUGUGAUAGAAGUGGUAUCAGAGGAAUGUUGACUGUAAGACGAAACCUAGAUAGAACUGGACAAUCAUUACCUACUUACCUUUGCUACUCUGAUUCUUUUCUAAACUUUUCUUAAUCUUUUCUCAUCUAUUUCCGCUUCACUCUGAUUAUUCUUACCUUUUCUUUCUAAAACACAAAUGUGGAUUUCACACUUUGAAGUUCCGUACCUAAAGUGACUCUUAGGACUAGGAGACCUAAUCUUAGGAACAAAAACAAAACUAUUUUUAUAGGUAUCUAUGUGUUUGAAUGCUUGUUCUUAUGAUACAUGUUUGAUUUGGAUUUUUUAUUGAGUGUGAUGAGUUGUGGAGUAAUGUCCACAAUUACAUCUACAUAUACAUAUAGGCAUAAAUAUAAAUAAAUAAAAUUCAUAAAAUAACUAGACAAACUAGAUUAUCCCUCAUUAAACUAUCUAGCCUAACAAUAUCCAUCUUAUCUUAAAAGAUUCUCUCUUAUCUUAAUAGAUUCAUCUUAUCUUGAAAGAUUCAUCUUAUCCUAAUCACCUUACUUAUCUCAUCCUAAAGUAACAAUCGUGAGCUAAUCCAAAGAAUUUAUUUAGAUCUUAUCUAGUCUAAAAUAGUCACAUCAAUUAUUCUAUAUCUGAUCCAAUCUAAUAGGUUAAUCUAACCUAACGAAGUCUAACCUUAAGUUGAGCUAACCUAAGGACAGUAACUUAACAAGUUAACACUAGUGAAAUAAACUGGAUUCUACUCCUAUGAACCUUGUUCUCCCCUUAUGCACUUAAACCUAAAUUAGUGCAUUAGGCCAACUCAAUCGUGAGCAUAAGAGCUAACCCAACCAAUAGUGUCAUGAUGGAUUGCAUAAUCUGUCUACCCCACCUAACAUCAAACAAGUUUUUGACCAACAUCAUGUAGUCUAUCUCACCUAUAUCUACCUUAACCAUACUCCCCACUCGGAUAAUAUACACUAAUGUCGAAUCAGUAAGACCAAGACCGGAGAAGAAAAGAUCAACAUCAAAUCAAGCAUGGAAGGAUAAGAUUCAAGCCAGAUCUUCAAAAGAAUCAAGAGCCACAAUCUUGGAUGGAGUCUUUUCUUAUCCUACUCUUUCUUACCCAAACCUAUAAAUGCUUUAAAGAUAUCUUUUAUCCUGCAUAAUAAAGUGGCUAUACCCAUAUAUACCCAUGCUUUUCUAAUCACCUGAUAAUUUGCGAUAAAAAAAGAGAAGAGUUUUGGUAUUAAAAUCAAUUAGAAACUAACCCAUAGACAACAAACAAUUUCUUCUACAUCCUCUUACAAAUCUCGAGGACGAGAUUUCUGUUAAAGGGGUUGGAUUUGUAAAGACCAAAAUCUGUGUAAAAAAUAAUAAUUAGUAAAACAAUGAAUUUUCGAAUGUACCUUUAAUCAGACCAUACAUUUAAAAGAGUAGUAUCUUAAUUGUGUGUGUGCAUGUACUAAAUUAAAUCUUGUGUUAAGUUCCUUCAAAUUAAAUGGUUGAUGGAUAUUCAUUUUUGAAGAAGCUCACAAUUUUAUCACACACUCAAUUUACUAUUUCAUAUAAAGAAUAAUAUAUAGAUCAUACUUGAAGCAUGGCCUAAUAAAUUAAUAAAGUAAUUAGUAAAUACAUUUAAAACAUUAGCAUCUCAUAUUGGGAUUUAUUUUUGUAUUUGUAAUUCAGUUUGAAAUUUGAAUUUGAUUUGAAUGAUUGAAAUUUGAAAUAGAAAAAAAAUAGGAAAACAGAAAAUAGAAAACUGAAAAAAAGAAUAAAUGGGAGGUUGGGCCGACUUCUCUCCUACGCCUCGGCCCACCUCACCUUUGCCCCCUUGCGCAGCCCACAUAAACACCACGCGCUCCUCCCUCUCUGCGACUGCCGGGCGGGUCCCGCACUUCCGGUCAAUGCAGUGCACGCGUGGGUGUGCUGUUUCACCGCCAUGUGGGGCCAGCUGCGCAGAAGCUCCAUCUACCUUCCCACAACAAACUCGCGCGCCUGCGACCGAUCCUUUCCCCCUAAAUCGGCGUGAUUCACGGGCAGGUCCCCUCCUGGCGAUCCGAAGUACUCGUGCCAACCUCCUUCUGCUCGAGGUAUAAAAUUGACCUCCCCUUCGUCCAUCCGUCCGUGGAGCGCCAUUGCUGGGAGAAAUAAGAGAGGGAGAAAUCGCGGUGUGCAAAUGUGGGAUGCCAUGGGUGACUCGCUUACUCCUCAACGUUGUGCCCCUGGAUUCGGCCUGUCUCAGGGCUAUAAGACUGGACACCGGGGCUCCACUGGUCAGCACGCCACCGUCUGUGCGGGCCCGUGCUCAUCCCGCCAUGGGACAGCGCGACGGAAGUGGCCACCGCCGUGGUCGUCUCGAUUCGCCCACGGUUGACCAUGGCGCGGAGUCCUGGUGCAACGCAGCAAGUAACCCAGCCCACUAGCCUCCUCUGGCGGGACCUUCUUCUCCACGUCGCCGGUCGGGUCUGUGGCUUUGUUCGAGCCGAUUUGCGCCCAGAAUCGCGGAUUGGGCAGUCCUUCAGCCGCGGAGCUUCUACUCAUCGCGAGCCGCACCGAUUGCACCUGGAUUCGCGGUACGUUCUUGUGUAUCGAUUUCUAGGCACAGCCCGGGGUCGAUUGACGGCGUUUAGUCGCGGGAUUGCUGCGUCAAGGCGCAGAUUCAGUUUGCUCCGGCGAGGUCGCGACUGUCGAUUUGGGUGGCGCUUCCUCGGGUGGAUGAUGGGAGGAAGAAGGUGGCUGUCUGUUGGAUUACGAUCCAGCGGAUAUGAUUGAUCGGGGGUGUAGGGGUGUCCUGAGUCGUUGAUCUUACGGGGAACGCUUGAUAUUAGAUCCCAGGUACCGGUUUGGCCAUAAGUAAUCCAAGCCGUUGAUUGAGGGAUGGGAGCGAGAGGUGUUCCUGGCGUUUUAAAAUCCAGGGCAUUGAUCUCAGAUCCAAGGGCUCGUAUUGCAUACUGUUUCAUUUAAAGCACGAUCUAAUCCGGGCCGCCGGAUCUGGAUCGGGCGGCUCUGAUUGCGGGAUACCCCUUCAGCCGUGUGCAAAUUAAUAAAGAGACCCUUACGUUUUCAAUAAUCAACCCGCCGUCCACCUCGGGUCAGGGCUGAGUCUGGUAGAUUUUACAAAAUAAACCCCGACCUUCUCUGUAUUAGUGCGCCCAGUCUAGGAAUUAAAGAAAAUAGAAAAAAGAGAUUUAGAAAUUGAUUUUGAGUAUAAAAAUAAUUGUAAAACUUGUAUAAUUCAUAGAAAAUUUAUAUGAAGUCCAAAUUAAUUCAUUCCAAUUUCUAUAAUUUUAUAAUAUAAUUGUUUAUCACCUAGUGUCUCUGUUUUGGCAUGAAAAUAGUAAUAAAAUUUAUUUCUUAGUUAAUCCUGCAUCAAAUACAUAAAACAUUUGGAAAUCCAUAACUUAAAAUCUAUAACUCCAAAAUUAGUAAUUCCUGUUCCUGUGAUCUUAUUUCAAUAUGUAGAUCAUUAUUAUGUAUUUUGCAUAUAUGUUUGGUGUAAUGUUAAUUUUGCCUGCACCAUGUUUGUCUGUAUUGCAACGCUUAGCAGUGAGGACACGUGUCAUCUGAAGAGCAAGUUGGUACCUGGAAUCUCAAGUCCCAGGCAAGUUGUGCCCUUGAUCACUUCUUUUUACCCACUCAUGUUCUAAUUAAUCAUAAUGAUCUGCAUAGGUUAAUUUUGAUGGGACCCAAUAGGUUACCCUAGUUUGUCUAUCUUUAUACCGUGUUUACCACUGAACUUUUUGGGUAGUACUUGCUAGUGCUUUAUGUGGUUUUGGGUAUGAAGAUACAUUAUUCAUGAUCACACUGUUAUUAUCUGUUUAUUAUUACUGUCCAUGAUAAGAUCAUUAUGUUAAUUGGAACAUGGAGCGACCACCCGGGAAAACAGUGCUACCACAAGGGUUUAAUGGGACGCCCUUGGCUGAUUAAUUAGGAAAGCUAGUGGAAGACUACCUUACCCGAAAGGGGCAAGGGCAGUAGGGGAGUGGUCAGUGUAGGGAGGUCCUUGGGAUGAUUUUGCUGCGAUGGCGAUCAUGCGAGGGAUCCCUGCAUUGGAGCUUCCUAUAAACUGUAGCGGGUUUUCUGAAGCUAGUGGAACUUUGUAAAGGCCUCGUAGUGUUACCCUGUCUCGCCUCCUAGGUAGAGGUGUAUGGGAAGUCGCGAUCCCUUGGCAGAUGGGUAACAUGACUUGUGGGUAAAGAUGCGCAACCUCUGCAGAGUGUAAAACUGGUAUACUAGCCGUGCUCACGGUCAUGAGUAGCUCGGACCCUCACAUGAUUAAUUUAUGGAACUAAAUUCAAUAUGUCAUAUGCAUUGCAUCGCAGGUGAUGUUGUUACUUUUGUUCUAUUACUUAAUUGGGUUGGUAUUUACUUAUACUUAGUAACUGCUAAUAAAAUUUUGACCAACUUUAAAAACAAUGCUCAUCUCUAACCAUCCUCUUUGGUAAGCCUUAUACUUCACAUGAACUCCCACCUUUGGCGAGUUCAUUCACAUUAUUCCCCAUAACUUAUUGAGCGAUGAACGUAUGUGAGCUCACUCUUGCUGUCUCACACCCCCCACAGGUCAAGAACAGGUACCACAGGAUAAGGCGCAUAGAGGAUGUUGUGCGAGUUCGUGAGAGGUCUAGGUCGUCGUCUCCCAGUCAACUUUGGGUUGCUGGACCGUUGUCUCCUUAUAAUGUAAUUGUUUAUUUUGUACAGAACUUCUAUUAUAUAGUAAAGUUGUGACAUUCGAUCCUGUGCCAUGAUUCAUCAUAUGUGUGAGACUUGGUCCCAGCACACCUGGUGAUUAUGUUCGCGCCCGGGUUUUGGACCCCUAAAAUCCGGGUGUGACAUGGCCUGGGACAGAAGAAGCCAAACCGCCGCGCACGGGGCGUGUAACCGCCCAGCGGUUACAAGCACUCCUCCAUCUUCGCCUAAACCAGCGGGUGAAAGGGCGGACCGCCAUGCAGGCGGCAUGCAAUUGCACCACGGGGAUGCUCCCUUUCGACUUCGACGCAUCCAGCAUGGGGGCCCAGGCCCACACGUCAUGUAACCGGCGCGCCGGUUACUACGUGCGAAAAACUGCACCGUCACUUACGCCAAUGCCGCGCCUUCUCGACUGCGGAACCGGUACCGCGACUCGAGGCAACCCUGUGCAUGGCCCAACAGUGCCAACCAAGCACAUCGGUCACAGGUCAGUCAGCCGCGGGAGAAGGCGCGACGGUCGAUAUGGCCAAAAGUGGGCCGGCAGUAAUGGCGGCGGCAAGUGGGCGGAAGCAGCAGUCAAAUCGUCUGCAGGCUCAUGUCCCCUCCUGGAGCAGCAGGGGAGCCCUCUCCCACGGCAUGAAGACGACGCGCCCGCGUUCCGUCCCUCGAACGGCUCGCGCAACGGCUGCCCCGUGAACCACUCGUCCUGGCGCAUUAACUCCGCGGCAGGGCAGGCGACAACUUUGGCAGGCGAAGCGGGCGACACUUCACCUCCGCCAUGAUGACCGCGUCAAAAAAGGUGUGCCACAUCGUUCAAUUUCGUAUCCUUUUCCUCUUCCCCUUUCUCUCUUUUUGCUACAGGGACCGGGAAAGGGGAUACUCCGAAAGGGAUCCUUCUUUGUGAAGGAAGCGGGCCCCGAGCCCUCCUACUGAUGAGGGGUUCGAAGGCUGGCCCCUCGGAAGGGUUCGACAGCCGCCUCAGAGCACUCGGGCUCCGCGCCCACUACUGGUCAGAGGUUCGAAGGCUGGUCCCUCGGAAGGGUUCGACAGCCGCCUCAGGCCACUCGGGCUCCGCGCCCACUACUGAUCAGGGGUUCGAAGGCUGGCCCCCCGAAGGGUUCAACAGCCGCCUCAGAACAUGCAGAGCGAGGGAUGACUCUGGGUACGUCCGAUACAUGGCCGAGGCUCGGGCUACGCUCCCGAGGUACCCUAGGACAUUUCCGAGACCAGCAGGAGCGAUUCUGUAACGAAAUCCCAUCAGAGGGAGGCAUCGAGCCCUCGGACCCUAUCAAACGGGACCAGGUCCGGCAAAACACCUGCAGGUACUUUUGGAGCGCGCCUCUGGGUCACUAGCCGACCCUUAUCGAACGGGGCAUGGGCGUCCACUUGAAUCACCCGUUAGCAACUCACUGGAGACACCAUGUUCGGCGCCCUCCGAGGGCAACAUGGCGCUUUCCCCACCUCCUCCUCGCGGAAAGGUGACGAAGGGGUGUAUGAUAAAAGCCGAGUCAGUCCUUGACCGUCCUCUCGCUCUGUGCAGAGGCUCGGGGGCUGCUCUCGCAAACCCGGCUCCGGCCAAACCGUUGACAGCAUCAACAUACCAGCCCGAGAACUCGGAACCUUACCAUGCACCCGGGCUAUGACCAGAUCGCAUGAGGGAACAACCAGACCGGCCGAGGCAUCACGAAAGGCACUAAGACCUCAGAGGAGUCAAACCACUCCUCCGAGGCCUCGGGGGCUACACCCGGCGGGUGCGCUCGCGCGCACCCACCGGAGCAAAAUGUAACCGAGAAAGGCCGAUCCCCUUACAAAAAAGUGCGACAAAGCCUCCAAGCGAGUACCAACACUCCCUUUUAGGCUCGGGGGCUACUGUCGGGGACCAUAAAUAGGGGUACCCCCAAGACUCCUAAACUCGGCUCGUAACCACCAUCAGCACAAGCUGCAAAGGCCAGAUGGGCGCAAUACAGGUCAAAGCUCCGUCCACUCAGGGGACACGAUCUCACCUCGCCCGAGCCCAGCCUCGGGCAGGAACAGUAGACCCAGGCGGAUUCACGCCUCGCCCGAGGGCCUCCUCAAGCAACGGGCGCACCUUCGACUCGCCCGAGGACCAGCUCGGGCAGGCUUCGCAGUGAAGCAACCUUGGCCAGAUCGCCUCGUCAACCGACCGUAUCGCAGGAGCAUUCAAUGCAAGGAUCGCCUGACACCUUAUCUUGACGCGCGUUCCUCAGUCGGCAGGGUUGAAGUGACCGCAUUCACUUCUCCCCUCCACUGACUGACCUGACAGGAAAACAGUGUCGCCUGCCCUGCUCCGACUGCUGUAACACCCUGAAUUUGGGGGUAUAAAAUUUCUUUUCUAAUAUUCACCAAAUUCAGGUGUUACCCUCUAUUUUCCAUGCUUUUCUUUUCUUUUUCUAAAUAAUGGAGUGUUAUUUUAUUAUAUAUUAGCAUAAGCCUACCGAAUUGAGCCCUAGAGAAGCGUUGUGUGCUGCCUUUCAUACUGAAGCAUAGUUUUGUUUGCUAUCACAUUUAAUUUUAUUUAAAUUAUUUUGGGCUUGAUCUUAAAUGGACAAAUAUUUAUAUACAUAAAUCUCUACUAUGCAUAUAGAUGCGAAAAGAAGAGAAAUAGAAAAAGGAGAAAACAAAUGAAAAAAAGGAACGAUCGUUCCUAAACCAGCGCUCUCAUCUCCCAUCCCACGUCCGAUCUGCAUGUAGAAAAAAAUGGAAAAACAACCUUAUGGGUCCCACUCGCAUGUGAUCUCCAGCUCCCCACGUUUUUCUCCCUGCCGUGCGUUUGGAAAGAAACCACCUGGCUGGGCCCCGCACGCCAUUUCUAUCUCCUCUCUCCAGUAACUGCUUCGCUCCAUUUCUUCCGCCGCUAGAUGCAUCCACAACUUCAGCAACUAACGCUCCUUCAAGCCCUGUAGCAACUCCCCUACUACACGCAGUCCACUCCGCGCACACCAUGCUGACUCUCCUCGUCGGAGCUCCGGCGUAGAUGUGCCUCACCGGAACACCUUGCGCAUCAUGCUUGCCGAUGUCGUCUUGACUGGUAAGGUCCGCGUCCCCUCCCUGCUGAGUCUUUGUGCGUGUAGCCUUCGCGUCGUCGUCUGUUGCGCACGCGUGCUGUCGCUCCACUAUGCUUGCUCGCCUCGGCCAGCGCGCAGCCCAGCUCCCCUGCACACGACUGGACUCCCUACAACGCGGCCAAGCCUGGCAGUCCGGCACGGUGCCACGAUUUUGCCCGUGGCCAGGCACCUCCUCCCAGCGAGAACCCGCGUGGAGCCCCUGUCCCGUUGCCCCAACAAGCGGCGUCGUCUGCCCAUUCUAGCCAUGGCCGCCCAGCCCGCCCAGUGCCUGCUCCCUCCCCAAUCCCGCGCGGCGGCGUGCUUGGCGCCCAGCUGGUGGCUUGCCUUGCGCCUCCCCUGGCCGAGCGGCCUGCUUGCCGCAGUAGAGAGAACUCAGGGCGCGUCCGACCCGCAGCCCCGCCCCUGCGCAGGAAAUCCUGAACCAGUUGUUCCCCUGUGUGCGUGCGUGGUGAGAGGUUGAAGAAAGGGAGUAGCCACACCAGAUCCCGCUUCUUUUCAUCUUAUGUGGCUGUGUCCCCAUGUGGCCCUUCGUGUGGUUUCACUUCGACCAAUAGAAUCACGCCAUAUAGUUUAAAUUCGAGAAAUGUUAUUUAUUCCAUAUAGUUUGCGUCGAAAACCCGUCACGACUCGUCCCAAUUGCGUUAACUUCGUAACAUCAUCAAUUUCGUAUUAGUAACAUUAUUUUGGUAUGUCGCGGAUCUCAAGUAAUUAAUUAUUUGUUCAUUCAAUAGUGAUUAAAAAAUGGCUUUCCAAUUAAAACUAAUUUAUAGUUCUAACUUGCGCUUUACAAAUACUCGUUAAUUUGAUUAAUGCAAAUUCAAAUAUUUGACAUUAAUACUCGCUUAUUGUAUGCACGUUAUCUAUUUAAGUAUUUAUCAUAUAUCGCGCAUACUGUUUCGCACGCGAUGGCGUGCUGGAUUGUGUGCUGUUUUGCGCGCGUCACCACACGUGGUCUUCACGUGUCGCGCGUGCGGAUCGUGCGCAUCACCGCAUGUCGUCUACGCGCUAAGUCGCGUGUGUCCGUGCGUCGUCGCAUAUUAUUCGCGCGCUGUUUGCGCGUCGUCGGGAUUCUGACGACCCUUGUCUACCCCUUCGUCUACCCCUUCGUUUACCCUUCGUCUACCCCCCUAUACCCCUGGAACAUCGUUUUGAUUUUAAAAUCUAAUUUAGGAAUUCGAUUUGCACCAACAUAAUUAAUCUUAACUGAAAUAUUCUUUGCUAAUAAUUGCUUAGAUUAAUCAUGCUUUUGUUUAUUAGUUUCGUAUGUCGGUUCGCGUGUGUCGUGCGCGUGCCGUAGCGUUGUUUUGCGCGCGUCAACUCAUUUCGUUCGCGUGUAUCUCUCAUGUCGAUCACGUGUAUCCGAUGACGUCCACUCGUGAUAAUAAAUUAUUUUCGCUUACGAACAAUCACGUUAAUAAUGCUAAUCUAUCGGGUCAUAUAUUUUAGAUACUUAACCUAAGACUCGCUCGGUUAAUAUUUAUCAGAUUAAUAUUCUAAUCAGAUUAAAUGUGUAGUGUUCAACUUGAGCUUUUAUAAUAAAUAUUAACAUGGAUAAUAUUAAUUUAACUACCUUCGAUUUAUGUAACAUUAGUUUAGUAUAAACAUGUCACCUGAUCAGUUAUUCUCGUCUGUCGCGGGUGUUGUUCCGCGCAGUGGCGCGUUGCUUCGCGCGUCGUUCACAUGCUGUCUGCGCGUUGUUCGUGCGUGAUGGGCUCGUGGUCGCGUGCUGGUUCGUGCCGGUUCGCGUAUCGUUCGCGCUGGUCGUGCGCACUGUUUCGCGUGUCGUCAGCAUGCUGUGUCGCGCGUGUCCGCGCGUCAUUUGCACGCUGUCGUGCUGUUUCGCUUGUCAUAAAUUCGUCUCGCUUAAAAUCUCUUAUGUUAAUUAAAUUACUUAUUUAUUUGACAGUUGUUAGUGUAGCAGAUUAAUCAAACUAAAUAGUAGAUAUAAUUUAUAAUUGAUAAGGUCGAAUUAAUUGUUAGCGUUAAUACUUGUUUAGCGUAAACGUGAUAUUUUCCCGACCGUCGCUUCGAGUUCGACAUUUCUUUCCCUCGUGUGACCAUAGAAUCGAGCUCUGUUUUAUGCUGCAUAUUUUUAUAUCAUUUUAUCUUGUAUGGUGUAAUGUUCUUAUGUAUUUAUAUAUGUUUGUUUGCUUGUGCUUGUUCGUCUUCGCUUCGUGUUGCGAUUAGAUCGCGAUUUGUUCCCGCGUUUCGAGGAAUCGACGAUCAAGCUUCGGCGAUCAAGUGAUCUAGCUCUUUGAGUUCCACGAGGCUGAAGAUCCUGAGCAUCUGUUUGGUGAAGGCAAGUGUCCUCUGUCCCAUUAUGUCCCAUUUACUUUAUAAUAUACUGUCCCGCAUACUAUGAACAACCUAAGGAUUGACUAGCUUUAUAUUUACCUUAUCCUUGAAUACCCUUUGGGUUACCAUGGUUAGCAUUUUGCUAUUGCUUUAACUUAAUCAAUGAACAUGAUGUGACUAUUUAUGAUACGACACUGUUAUCCUGAUUAUGUUGAUGAUAUACUUGUGGCAUUUAGGGGACUCGGGCUGUUUCCCGAGUACCUCUCCGUAAGGACCUGUUCGUUGAGAGACCACCCGGGAUAACAGUGCAACCAUGAGGGUGAAAUGGGAUGCCCUUAGCUAAUUAAUUAGAAGAACUAGAGGUGUAGUUGCUUCGCCGUCGUGCCAUCAAUGGGGUCCAGGCACAGUGCUUGCUCUGCCGAGGCUGGGUGCCGAGGUUCUUUCGUUCUGCUUUUGUUAGUCACCCUCCUGCAGGGAGAGGUACUGUGUUUAUCAAACUGGAGAAACCUAACGGGCGGCUAUGACCUCUAGGGAAUCUUUGUAAAAGCUACGUAGUGAUACCCUGCCGGACCACCUAGGAAGUGAUCAAUGGGGAUUAGCUCUCCCCGGGCAAAACGGGAAUCACGGCUCAUGGGUAAAGUGUGCGACCUCUGCAGAGGGUUAGAAACUGAUAUAUCAGCCGUGCUCACGGUUAAGAGCAGCCUUGGGAUCCUCUUUGAUUAGAGAUACAGAUGGUUCGAGAUACAAUGGUUCUAUUAAUGUUGUUGGUUCGAUGAUGAUCAUGAUGUUUCCUCGAUGAGGAAAUGACUCAGGGGAUGGUUAUAUAAUAAAACUUAGCUCCUACAAAUAAUAAAUACAUGACCAACUAAAAGCAACUGCUGAGCCUAACCCCACAUAAAAGCUAGUCCACUUCAGCCAAACGGGGCAUUUGCUGAGUACGUUGAUGUGUACUCAUCCUUGCUUUACCACAAAACACCAGGUUGUCCACAUUGUAACCACUGCUCAGGAGAAGGCGAAGUCGUGGAAGGAGACUUCCAGGAGUUCCAAGACUACGACGAGUUUUAGGUGUGGGUUGGCGGCAACCCCCAGUCAGCUGCCUGUGAAGGCCUUAUCUUUACUACGUUUCGCUAGCACUUUGAUUUAUCUGUUAAGUUGAUGACCAUGUGGAUGUCUAUGACUCUGUGAUGUAAUAAGUUAAUACUCUUUUAUGCUAUUAUUCGAGCAAUGUGCGAUGAUGUUCAUUUAUGUAAUCGCUGUGUACUUGAGUUCUGAUCCUGGCACGUACAUAGUUCGCAUUCGGUUUGCCUUCUGAAACCGGGUGUGACAACUGCUGUGCCACCCGCCAGGGUGAGGCUGACAACAGCCGAGUCCGGCCUCAGGCGCCAUAGGAAGCUCCGCCUCACCCGACCCCGGGGCUCGGCCCCCGCCUCGACCUCGGAAGACGGUCUCCGCCACGCCCGACCCCAGGGCUCGGACUCAAGUAAUGAUGGCACCCCGCGUGCUCCCAUGACGACGGCGGUUCUCAGCCCCCUACGGAAGCAAGGAGACGUCAACAAGGACCCAACAGCCCCGACUGCUGUGCUUCUACAGGGCUCAAGCGCUCCUCCGACGGCCACGACAUCACAUGAACAGGGCACUAACACCUCUCCAACAGCCACGUCGGCAUGUACAUAGGGCUCUAGCUCCUCUCUGCCGGACACGUUAGCACGUUGCUACACCCCCUAUUGUACACCUGGACCCUCUCCUUACAUCUAUAAAAGGAAGGUCCAGGGCCCUCGUACGAGAAGGUGGCCGCGCGAGAGGACAGGCUGACGAACAGGCUCUCUCUCCCCCUCGAGGACGCUUGUAACCCCCUACUGUAAGCGCAUCCACCCUGGGCGCAGGAUAACACGAGCCGCGGUUCCCUUUUUUCCCCCUUGUGUUCCAUCUCGCGCCGACCCAUCUGGGCUGGGACACGCAGCGACAAUUUACUCGUCGGUCCAGGGACCCCCCGGGGUCGAAACGCCGACAAAUAGAAUUGCAAGAUUAGCAAGAAAUAUCAUAAAGCACUUCACAUAAAUAAAGAUGCAAGAAGCUUUACACAUGGAGCUGUAUCAGAAACUCAGCACAUAAUGAGAGGCCAAACAGAGUAUAGCAUUGCAACUUUGUGACCAUACAAAAAUAACAUAUGUGAAGUGUCAAGAAAAAAUACAUUAAUGCAAGUUAGAUAAGAGAAUCCCAAACAAGAUGAAACUGCAUGCUCAAAAAGAAAAGAUAUGGCAGUUCACCUAACUUUUCUUUGAGGGAAUAUGCUCUUAAGUAAGAUAGGAUGGGUGUCCUUAUUUCUGAUUUCAGUAUACAAUAUUUUAUAUGGGUACACGAUACAUGAUCUAUAUGCAUUACUUAUCUCCAGUAGAGAAAACCAAAUUGCAAACUAACUCAAAUUCAACGCAGAAGUGUUCUUCUAGUGAAGUGUUCAAUCUUCUAGUGGUUGGUUGCCCUCUAGUACAGUCCUUCGGAAGAAACCUUGCAAAUGCCAUCUCAUCCAAGGAAUCCACUCAACAACAAAAUGUUGAAGAUCAUGACAAGGCGAAGCAAACAUGCAAGAAAAAACCACUUAUCAAGAAGGAUGGAAGUAGAGAGCAAGAACAAAUAGCACAAACAAGUCUAAUAGCAACCAUCCACUUAGCAAGCAUGAUAAAAUUUGAACAACAAAAAAAUCACAAUUUCAAGAGAGACAAGUAAUUAUAAAAUAAUGAAAUGCUUAGAUAAAUAAUAAAUGUAGGUUACAGAAUCAAGAUUUAAUGGGUAGCUACAGAAAAAGAAGGAAUAUUGACCAAAUUUCACCUUGAAGUUGUAGACAUCUGAAUAGAGUGACAACUUCUAGGCAUAUGUGGGAUGGGAGCUUUCAAGUCAACUACACAUCGGUAGGAUAGAAGGUCAGCCUAACAACUAAACAUUGGUAGAUUAGUAACUUCUUCAAAAAGAAACUUGCCUGAACAUUAUAAUUAAUACACAAAAGGUGUGGAAUCCGAUGUACAUCUCUUCAAAGAAUGUUGUACUCCCUCCCUCAACCUUCCAAGGCAUAUUUAGGAGUCAAAUUAAAUGCAUGUUCAGAGUACAAAGUCAUAUCAAUACAUUCAUAAUUUCAAAGUUUUUUUAGUAUGAAAGAAAUUCAAAGGCUAAAAUAUGAUAUUGAAGACUUUACAUACUAAAGUAC